CAAAAGCCUUGCUGUUCAUCAGUCCACGGUAAGACGAAUUGUCUAUAAAUGGAGAAAGUUCAGCACUGCUGCUACUCUCCCUAGGAGUGGCCUCCUGUAAAGAUGACUGCAAGAGCACAGCACAGACUGCUCAAUGAGGUGAAGAAGAAUCCUAGAGUGUCAGCUAAAGACAUCCCUGUUAGCGAAUCUUUAAUACGUUAAACACUAAACAAGAAUGGAUUUCAUGGGAGGAUACCACAGAGGAAGCCACUGCUGUCCAAACAAAACAUUGCUGCAUGUUUACAGUUUGUACAAGAGCACCUGGAUGUUCCACAGCAGUACUAUGUGUGGACGGAUUGCUAUCAUCGAAGGAAAAAUGAAUUCCCACGUUUAUCAAGACAUUUUGCAGGAGAACUUAAGGCCAUCUGUCUACCAGCUGAAGCUCAACAGAAGAUGGGUGUUGCAACAGGACAAUGACACAAAGCAUAGAAUUAAAUCAACAACAGAAUGGCUUAAACAGAAGAAAAUACGCCUUCUGAAGUGGCCCAGUCAGAGUCCUGACCUCAACCCGAUUGAGAUGCUGUGACCUCAAGAAAGCGAUUCACGCC